GCCUGAGAGAAGGAAACAUCUCACUAAGAAUCACUAAUGUGACACAAGAAGAUGAAGGAAGAUACAGAUGUUUCAUCCCAAAGUUAAAGAGUCAAACAAAGUCUUCAAUUGUUCAUCUGAUUGUUGCUAAAACUGCGACAACAGAGACACCACUGCAUCCUGAAACUCUCCAAACUCCUGAUCUGGCAGAAGAGUUUCACAGUAAAGGUGGUUUGUCCCGUCGGAGCCGACUGAUCCCAUUUGGGGUCAGCGUUUUUUUUAUUGUGCUCUGUGUCGCAGUCGCAGGAUGUUGGUUCGCUGAGUCAAAGUGUCAAAAAACAGAUGUAAAAGACUUGAAUCUUUGAUUUUAUGCAUUUGCCUCAUGGCUGAAGGAUGGAAAUGAAGGAAAACUGUGUGUCUGUUCUUUCUUACUCCAGCUUGCGAGUGCAGCUUCAUAGGUGACUCUUGGACAAAUUGGAAACAUUUACAGAGGUGAAAGCAUCACCCACUUCACUUAAUUUUUUUGUUGAAGGAUUCAAAGCAACAACGUUUCCAGCCUCAUGUGGAUACGGCGGAUCUGCAGCAGGAGCAUUUCACAAUGUCCUGUAAUUUGUUUGGAGUCACGCUGAACCUCUGGUUUAAACAAGACAGUUAACAUACAGAAAAAACAACAACCAUCAUUGAUGCCAAAGUUGACUUCUGGGAUCAAACUUCAAAAGCGUGAAGUGGUCUGCUGUAGAGCAUUUCGUGACUGUUUGAGCAAAUCUUCUGUCCAAGUUACUUGUGAGGAAACCUGUACAAGGACACAGAGAAGCAUUUAGGACGACGUUCUUUUCUGUGUUUUGUUUUGCUGUAGUGGUAUCAAGUAAAGUUUUCUAUUUUUAGUUUUAAAGCUAUUUUUAGAUUUAAACAUUUUAGUAUAUUUUUAGUGUUAGAUGUUUUUUUUUUUAUCUAGUGAGCUUUAAAAUGCCCUUCAGUCACUUUACAGUCAUAACUAAAGUGCUUUGAGCAGGUGUAGAAUAUUUAGCUGAUUUAGAGUUUAGAAAUGUGUUAUCAUAGAAUGUAGAACUGUUGUAGAGACACUGACACUGCCCUCAAUAUAAUAAAGGCUGAUUGUGUCGUGAAUUUAGGAGUAGAUUGUAGGAGACCCCUCCCCCACUUGAGCUGUGAAAGUAAAACAGAGAAGAGUUAAUGCUGAGUGGAAAUUCCCCAGAGGAUGUUUUUGGGUGGGGGUCUCAACAUUUGUAACUGGAUAACUGUG